rnacentral:rRNA from 1 species
UACGUAGGGUGCAAGCGUUGUCCGGAAUUAUUGGGCGUAAAGAGCUCGUAGGCGGUCUGUUGCGUCGGCUGUGAAAACCCGAGGCUCAACCUCGGGCCUGCAGCCGAUACGGGCAGACUAGAGUUCGGCAGGGGAGACUGGAAUUCCUGGUGUAGCGGUGAAAUGCGCAGAUAUCAGGAGGAACACCGGUGGCGAAGGCGGGGUCUCUGGGGCCGAUAACUGACGC